GACCCCGUAGUUCAGUGGUAGAAUGUGAGAUUCCAGCGCUUCGGCGGUGCUUCCUCAAGGUCAUCCGUUCAAUCCGGGUCGGGGUCA